ACAGCUUAUAUCAUUCCCAGGGUCAGAGCUUGAUGAGAGGGGUCAUUUAAUCACUUGAAGGAGCAUGGGGUAGAUAUAGGGGCAAUGAUUCUGGAAUGAGAAUCCUGGAAGUUCAAAUCUCAACCAUGGCUUUUAUUUCUGCCUUUUGGACCACAUGCCCCAUUGCCCCCACCAAGAAUACCAGCAUAAUAAUGACUCUUCCAAAGAACUUACAUUCACUGGAGAACUAGGAACCAAUAAGACUGUUCUACCAACCAAUGCUAGAGUUAAAAGAUUCCAGAGAAUGUAAUGAUCAUCUAUCUAUGCAGAGCCACAAAUAGACUGAUGCCUCCAGGAACAAAGUCAUACCCCACCAUGAAACUGUAUUGCUUUGCCAAUUGCCCAUUCAGUGAAAUGUAAUUUGUAAACAUCAAAAUAAAUGCGACUGUUGUCACA
rnacentral:lncRNA from 1 species